rnacentral:tRNA from 1 species
GAAUCGGUGGUUCAGUGGUAGAAUGCUUGCCUGCCACGCGGGAGGCCCGGGUUCGAUUCCCGGCCGAUGCA